GUCCACACCGUAAACGUUGGGCGCUAGGUGUGGGAUCCAUUCCACGGGUUCCGUGCCGCAGCUAACGCAUUAAGCGCCCCGCCUGGGGAGUACGGCCGCAAGGCUAAAACUCAAAGGAAUUGACGGGGGCCCGCACAAGCGGCGGAGCAUGCGGAUUAAUUCGAUGCAACGCGAAGAACCUUACCUGGGUUUGACAUACGCCGGAAACAUCCAGAGAUGGGUGCCCUUUUGUCGGUGUACAGGUGGUGCAUGGCUGUCGU
rnacentral:rRNA from 1 species